rnacentral:rRNA from 1 species
GACGAACGCUGGCGGCGUGCCUAAUACAUGCAAGUAGAACGCACAGUUUAUACCGUAGCUUGCUACACCAUAGACUGUGAGUUGCGAACGGGUGAGUAACGCGUAGGUAACCUGCCUGGUAGCGGGGGAUAACUAUUGGAAACGCUGGCUAAUACCGCAUAAUAUUAAUUAUUGCAUGAUAAUUAAUUGAAAGGUGCAAUUGCACCACUACCAGAUGGACCUGCGUUGUAUUAGCUAGUAGGUGAGGUAACGGCUCACCUAGGCGACGAUACAUAGCCGACCUGAGAGGGUGAUCGGCCACACUGGGACUGAGACACGGCCCAGACUCCUACGGGAGGCAGCAGUAGGGAAUCUUCGGCAAUGGACGAAAGUCUGACCGAGCAACGCCGCGUGAGUGAAGAAGGUUUUCGGAUCGUAAAGCUCUGUUGUAAGAGAAGAACGGGUGUGAGAGUGGAAAGUUCACACUGUGACGGUAUCUUACCAGAAAGGGACGGCUAACUACGU